rnacentral:lncRNA from 1 species
GAAAAUUGCUGCCUGGGUCGGCUGGGCCUGUAGGCCUGCGUCCGGCAGCGCGCGGCCGUGCUUUCUAAGCGGGCUCGGCAGCACCAGACUUCACCGGCCCGGCGCGGGGCUCACAAGUGCUCGCACUCCCUGCGGCCGGCGCGCUGACCGGAGCCUCUGGGUCUCGCACGCAGCAGCUGCAGACGCUGCCCGGCGCGGUGGGGCUGUGAGGAAAACGGCCCGCUGGUGUGGUUGCCCAGACUGUGCUGGGCCCUCCUAGGUGGAUGGCCCUGCCCCAGCCUAACUUCUGUACCCCAGCAUAACCUCCAAAGUAACAGCCGUGCCCUGGGAGCCUGUUCAACACUGAACAUAUCCCACAAUAACACUGUUCCAGCGUCGCUGGUAAAAAGCAGAAAUGGCUUCGAUGUUUCUGGAUGAGAUUAGCAUUCAAAUUCGUGGACUCAUUAAAGUAGAUGGCCCUCUCCAAUAUGGGUGGGCAUCAUCCAAUCUGUUGAAGGCGUGAAGAGAACAAGAGAAGGAGGAAGGAAGAAUUCACCUUUUUUCUUGCUGCCCACCUGCUUGGGCUGGGACAUUGCAUCUCACCUUCUCCAGCCUUUGGAUGAGGAUUUACACCCUGGUUCUCAGGCCUUCAGGCUCUAACUGGAGCUACACUAUCAACUUUCCUGGGCCUCCAGAUUGCAGAUGGUGGAUCACGGUACUUUUUAGCCUCCAUCAUAAUAUGAGAAAAAAGAGGCACAGUGAAGCUAAAUAUAUUGGCUAAAGAUCACAAAGCUAAUAUCGCUCUUUUCUCUGAAAUUUGCCUGGGGCCGCAGCAUAAAUCUACAGUUACAACCAUGAAGAUAGAAGUUGCUCAUUAAUUCAGAGGGCAGGAACUUGUGAACAUAACUGUUAGAAGAUUAUCAAGGUUAUCUGUGCUCAAUGUGUGCAUCUCAGAUCAGCAGCAUCAGCAUCACCUGGGAGCUUGUUAGAGAUGGAGACUCUCAGGCUCCACGGCAGACUUCCUGAAUCAGAAGCUACAAUUUAACAGGAUCCUCGGGUGAUCUGAAAAUGCAAUAAAGUUUGGGAAGCACUGCUGUUGGUCAUUAGACAAUCUAAUGAACUAAGACUUUUGCCGAGCAUCUGAGUUGAAAUUUUUCAAGAUGAAAAGUUGCUAAAGAAAGAGAAAGGGAAGCGGUUUGCUCCAGUAUUCCUCUUUCCACCUUCCCACUGACUGGGAAGCAGCGGUUAGCAGAGCCACAGCCUUGGAUUAGAGAUAAGAGGGACGUGUUGAGGAAGGUGGAGUCUCC